GUUACACUCACUCCCUAGAGCUAUUAUAAUAUUCCUAAUAAUAAUUCCUUAUUAUAAUAAGCCUAAUAUUCUGCUUCUGUGACGGUAAAGGCAGUCACAAAACCCAGCAUACGGUUCUCCAGGCUGAAGAUGCAAAAUGUCGUUAUUGACCCACAAUGAAAUGGAUACAAACUCACACAUACACAAGCUUCUUAGUAGAAGUCAUUAAGCAUUUCCUGAGUCCAAGUUAGCCAAUUUGUAGGAUGUAGGAUAUCUAAUAUGACACCUAUAAGCUUGAGCCUUGGAAUCAAGGUAAAUUCUUUCACAUGUGUGAGUUCAAAGCAGUUUUUAUUGCUACUCCAGAGCAAGUGUUCAUAGGUAUCCAGAGUGGAUUCAUCUGUCUUUUUACUGGUUCGAGUCUCACCACUGCCUUGGCACCGC